UACGUAGGGGCAAGCGUUGUCCGGAUUUAUUGGGCGUAAAGAGCGUGUAGGCGGCCUGGUAGGUCAGCUGUGAAAACUCGAGGCUCAACCUCGAGACGCCGGUUGAAACCAUCAGGCUAGAGUCCGGAAGAGGAGAGUGGAAUUCCAGGUGUAGCGGUGAAAUGCGCAGAUAUCUGGAAGAACACCCGUGGCUAAGGCGGCUCUCUAGUACGGUACUGACGCUGAGACGCGAAAAGCGUGGGGAGCGAACAGGG
rnacentral:rRNA from 1 species